AGCAGUGUGGUGUAGUGCGCACACGGGUCUCCUUGAGUCAAGAUAGAAUCUCACCCCCGAGGUCCUUGUUCGAGCCAAGGCGCUGCUG